GAUGAAGAACGUAGCAAAAUGCGAUAAGUAAUGUGAAUUGCAGAAUUCAGUGAAUCAUCGAAUCUUUGAACGCACAUUGCGCCCGCCAGUAUUCUGGCGGGCAUGCCUGUUCGAGCGUCAUUUCAACCCUCAAGCACAGCUUGGUGUUGGGACUCGCGUUAAUUCGCGUUCCUCAUAUUGAUUGGCGGUCACGUCGAGCUUCCAUAGCGUAGUAGUAAAACCCUCGUUACUGGUAAUCGUCGCGGCCACGCCGUUAAACCCCAACUUCUGAAUGUUGACCUCGGAUCAGGUAGGAAUACCCGCUGAACUUAAGCAUAUCAAUAAGCGGAGGA
rnacentral:misc_RNA from 1 species